rnacentral:rRNA from 1 species
AGUGAACGCUGGCGGUAGGCCUAACACAUGCAAGUCGAACGGCAGCACAGUAAGAGCUUGCUCGUACGGGUGGCGAGUGGCGGACGGGUGAGGAAUAAAUCGGAAUCUACUUUUUCGUGGGGGAUAACGUAGGGAAACUUACGCUAAUACCGCAUACGACCUACGGGUGAAAGCAGGGGAUCUUCGGACCUUGCGCGAUUGAAUGAGCCGAUGUCGGAUUAGCUAGUUGGCGGGGUAAAGGCCCACCAAGGCGACGAUCCGUAGCUGGUCUGAGAGGAUGAUCAGCCACACUGGAACUGAGACACGGUCCAGACUCCUACGGGAGGCAGCAGUGGGGAAUAUUGGACAAUGGGCGCAAGCCUGAUCCAGCCAUACCGCGUGGGUGAAGAAGGCCUUCGGGUUGUAAAGCCCUUUUGUUGGGAAAGAAAAGCAGCAGGUUAAUACCCCGCUGUUCUGACGGUACCCAAAGAAUAAGCACCGGCUAACUUCGUG